UACGGAGGAUGCAAGCGUUAUCCGGAAUGAUUGGGCGUAAAGCGUCCGCAGGUGGCAAUGUAAGUCUGCUGUCAAAGCGUCUGGCUCAACCAGAUAAAGGCAGUGGAAACUACAUAGCUAGAGUAAGGUAGGGGUAGAGGGAAUUCCUGGUGUAGCGGUGAAAUGCGUAGAGAUCAGGAAGAACACCGGUGGCGAAAGCGCUCUGCUGGACCUUAACUGACACUGAGGGACGAAAGCGUGGGGAGCGAGCAGG
rnacentral:rRNA from 1 species